rnacentral:rRNA from 1 species
GGUUUUGUCGUGGUUAAAUAGAAAAUUUAUUUUUAGUAGUUUGAGCGAAUUUAGUUGGGAUCCUAGAGAGAACUGAGUACUGAGAAGGAAUGUUAUUUAUUUGUUUAAAAUAUUAGGUUGGUUAGUACCUUUUGUAUUAGGGUUAAUCUAUGUAGUUUUGCGUUUGUUAUUUCUCGAUGAAUAUCGGGCUAUUUUUCUUAUUGGUGCUCGUUGUAUAGAGUUAAAUAGGGGAUUAUAGUUAUGAAAUAUUAUUCAAGUUAUUUUUUAUCUGGUUCUUUAAGAAAUUUAAUAGUCGGUAUUUUUAUUAUGACGAUAAAUAGGGAUUAGCUUAUUUAUUUUUUAUAUUGUUUUAUUUGGGGGAUUUGUUUGUGGAGUUGAUAGUGUUUAUUUAAAUGGAGUUAUUUUCGAACAAGUUGUUUUAAUUAUUUUUUGGUUUUGUGUGAGUAUUAGGGUUGUGUUGUUAAUUUGGGAUGAUAGGUAAUAAUGAUUAAAUUAUUAAUAAUUAUUUGUUGUUUUCUGUUUGUUUAGGAAUCAGGUUUUGUUUGGGUUAGGCAAUGCUAAAAUUGGAUUUGAUGAAUUAGGCAAAGAUUGAUUUCUGACUGUUUAGCAAAGACAUUGUUUUUUGUUGUGAUAAAAAAUAAGUUCUGUCCACUGCUAUUAGGUGAAGGGCUGCAGUAUUUUGACUGUAUGAAGGUAGCAUAAUCAUUAGCUUUUUAAUUAGAAGCUGGUAUGAAGGUGAAACAGGGGUUUGCUGUAUUUUUUCUAUUUUUUGAAUUUUAUUUUUAUGUGAAAAAUCAUGAUUGAAUUAGUGGGACAAGAAGACCCCAAUAAGUUUUAUCUUUUUAAUUAAUGCGUGCAUAGGCUUUAUUUGUGUAAUUUAUUUAGGGGGAUUUGGCUGGGGCGGCAGUUUAUUUGACAUAGAUUGAUUUUUAACUUAAUUUGGCGUGGUGCGGGACCUAGGUUGUUUAGAUUAGUGUGAAACUACUGUGGGGAUAACAGCGUGAUUUUAUUUGAGAGUUCUAAUUGACAAUAGA